AUUGAACGCUAGCGGGAUGCUUUACACAUGCAAGUCGAACGGAGCGGCGGCCGGGUGAGUAAUAUAUCGGAACGUGCCCAGUAGCGGGGGAUAAUUACUCGAAAGAGUGGCUAAUACAGCAUACUAUUGGAGCGGCCGAUAUCGGAUUAGCUAGUUGGUGGGGUAAAGGCUCAACAAGGCAAAGAUCCGUAGUUGGUUUGAAGUGAUGACCAGCAACACUGGGGCGGGGGCACGGCCCAGACGCCAACGAGAGGCAGCAGUGGGGAAUUUUGGACAAUGGAGGAAACCCUGAGCCAGCCAUCCCGCGUGUAUGAUGAAGACCUUCGGGUUGUAAAGUACUUUUGGCAGGGAAGCGGUAUCUGCAGAAUAAGCACCGGCUAACUACGUGCCAGCAGCCGCGGUAAUAC
rnacentral:rRNA from 1 species